AAAGAUCAUGCAUGUUUUAUAACUUCACCUUCCUUAUCUGUCUGGCAGUCAGCAUCUCCUGGCAACAGAGGUCAGGGGAGCACAGCAUCAGAUUAUUUUCUAUAAUUGUUGUUGUUUGAACAAAGCUGAUCAAACGCCAUGAACCACAUAAGCCAUUUUGGAAGUCCAACACUAUCUGACAUCAGCGGUAAAUCAUGAGAAGUGUCUGCCUUCUACUGAUGGUGAUCUCUCAAGUUCAG